UCGCAAUGAUUAUAAUAUUAUCCGCGCUUCUGAGAUCACUCAGUGAAGUACAUGGAUUACAAUGGUUGAAUUUCUUAAUAUGAGCUA
rnacentral:snoRNA from 1 species